GCUAGUUGUAUUAAUUAUGUCUUUAGUUAAAUGCAGCAUCGACUAUGUCGAAUAAAGUUCUAGGUAGAGUUAUGAUAAUGACAUUUUCUACCUAUGUGUCUUGACCAAAUCACGUGCCAGCAGUCGCGGAAAUACGUGGAAGACUAGUGUUAUUCAUCUUUAAUAGGUUUAAAGGGUACUUAGACGGUAAAUUAAGCCCAGAUAAAAAUAAAGGGUACUAAUUAUACUAGAGUUUAAAUGAGAGGGGGGGUGUAGUAGUGGUGUAGAGAUGAAAUUCUGUCAUACCAAGAUGACAGGCAACGGCGCAAGCAACCUUUUAUGUGUAGACUGACGUUAAAGGACGAAGGCUUUGUAUCACCAACAGGAUUAGGUACCCAAGCAGUCUUAGCAGACAAUUCUGAAUGCCAUAGAUAAGAAAAGAUUCUUUUCUCUCUAUCUCUAUUAAUAAAAAGAGAUAGAUGUUAUUUUGUCUAUAAAUGAAAGUGUAAGCAUUCCACCUCAAGAGUAAUGUGGCAACGCAUAAACUGAAAUCAUUAGACCGUUUCUGAAACCAGUAGUGAAGUAUGUUGUUUAAUUUGAUGGUCCGCACAAAACCUCACCACAAUUUGUAUAUUAUUAUCUUAAUACAGGAGUUGCACGGCUGUCUUCAGUUAAUGUCG
rnacentral:rRNA from 1 species